UUGAAAUACCAGUUCCUGUACACUCAAAGUUAAGCAAUAUCGGGCCUGGUCAGUACCUAGAUGGGUAACCACUUGGGAAUACCAGGUGCUGUAA